UACGGGGGGAGCAAGCGUUGUUCGGAUUUACUGGGCGUAAAGGGCGCGUAGGCGGCUCUGCACGUUCGUUGUGAAAUCGCCCGGCUCAACUGGGCGGGGUCAGCGGAUACGGCAGAGCUUGAGCAAGCUAGCGGGCAAUGGAAUUCCCGGUGUAGUGGUGGAAUGCGUAGAUAUCGGGAGGAACACCAGUGGCGAAGGCGGUUGCCUGGGGCUUUGCUGACGCUGAUGCGCGAAAGCGUGGGGAGCGAUCCGG
rnacentral:rRNA from 1 species